rnacentral:SRP_RNA from 15 species
UCAGCAGGAAGCAGCAGGAGGCGACGCUCCCCAGGAGCUGCUGCGGCGCGCACGGGAGGCAGCUUCCUUGGGCG